ensembl:lncRNA
GUAGUGCACUACUUCAGACCAGAGUGUCAAUAAGACGUAGUGCACUACUUUAGACCAGAGUGUCAAUAAGACGUAGGGCACUACUUUAGACCAGAGUGUCAACGGCUUUGAUCAGAAGUAGUGCACUACUUUAGACUAGAGUGUCAAUAAGACGUAGUGCACUACUUUAGACCAGUGUCAAUAGGAAGUAGUGCACUACUUUAGACCAGUGUCAAUAGGAAGUAGUGCACUACUUUAGACCAGUGUCAAUAGGAAGUAGUGCACUACACAGGGAACAGGGCACCAUUUGAGACGCUCGAAACCAAAACAUGAUUACACGGUGUUAAGAAAUGUAGAAAAAAACCAACACAGAAAUCCUUUUGGCAUGAGGAUAAAAGCCUUUUAAGCCAGAGAGGAGUGUAAAGUAAGGCAGUAACUGUCCUUCAUCAAAUUAUAUUAUUACAUAAACAACAUUUUGUUAAUCUAUUGAAUCCUUUUUGGUUAGUUUGUUGUCGCUUUUCACACAGGGGCUGUUGUUGUAUAAAUAUGACCAGUAUGUGCACUUUCAAACAUUCACGUUAUAUAUAAAAAAUAAACAUAAACAGUUUCACUUAGACAACAGCCACAGAAGACAUCACCAGGGAAACUGGGCUACAGUGAGAGAUGGCAGCCAUUUUGGAUCUGUUUUAAACAAGGGUCCCUCAUGUCCUUCAGGGGGUACCUAAGGUUUAUGCCUGAUUGAAAAAGAGCUUAAAUUUUCUUUUACUUCAGUGAUCACUUAAAUUAGAUAUAAACUCAGUAUGAGUUGUACAUUAAAUUGGUUAGCGAUUUAAGGUGUAUUUACAAUGUGGCUGAAACGCUGUUGGUAUUCAGCUGUUAGAAACAUCAAGACAGAUAGAUACUGGUCAGUUAGAGACAGUAGGACAGAUAGAUACUGGUCAGUUAGAGACAGUAGGACAGAUAGAUACUGGUCAGUUAGAGACAGUAGGAUAGAUAGAUACUGGUCAGUUAGAGACAGUAGGAUAGAUAGAUACUGGUCAGUUAGAGACAGUAGGACAGAUAGAUACUGGUCAGUUAGAGACAGUAGGAUAGAUACUGGUCAGUUAGAGACAGUAGGACAGAUAGAUACUGGUCAGUUAGAGACAGUAGGACAGAUAGAUACUGGUCAGUUAGAGACAGUAGGACAGAUACUGGUCAGUUAGAGACAGUAGGACAGAUAGAUGGUCAGUUAGAGACAGUAGGACAGAUACUGGUCAGUUAGAGACAGUAGAUAGAUACUGGUCAGUUAGAGACAGUAGGACAGAUACUGGUCAGUUAGAGACAGUAGGACAGAUAGAUACUGGUCAGUUAGAGACAGUAGGAUAGAUACUGGUCAGUUAGAGACAGUAGGACAGAUAGAUACUGGUCAGUUAGAGACAGUAGGAUAGAUAGAUACUGGUCAGUUAGAGACAGUAGGACAGAUAGAUACUGGUCAGUUAGAGACAGUAGGACAGAUAGAUACUGGUCAGUUAGAGACAGUAG